rnacentral:rRNA from 1 species
CAGUCGCCGCGGUAAUACGGAGGGUGCAAGCGUUGCUCGGAAUGACUGGGCGUAAAGGGCGCGUAGGCGGCGAUCAAAGUCAGGCGUGAAAUUCCUGGGCUCAACCUGGGGGCUGCGUUUGAUACUUGAUUGCUAGAGUGGGGAAGAGGGUCGUGGAAUUCCCAGUGUAGAGGUGAAAUUCGUAGAUAUUGGGAAGAACACCGGUGGCGAAGGCGGCGACCUGGUCCUUGACUGACGCUGAGGCGCGAAAGCGUGGGGAGCAAACAGGAUUAGAUACCCCAGUAGUCCCUGUCUCUUAUAC